rnacentral:rRNA from 1 species
ACUCAAAUGAAUUGACGGGGGCCCGCACAAGCGGUGGAACAUGUGGUUUAAUUCGAAGCUACGCGAAGAACCUCACCAGGGCUUGACAUACAGGAAGUAGUGAAGUGAAAGCGGAACGACCCGUUAAGUCGGGAGCCUGUACAGGUGCUGCAUGGCUGUCGUCAGCUCGUGUCGUGAGAUGUUGGGUUAAGUCCCGCAACGAGCGCAACCAUUGUCCUUUGUUGCCACUUCUUUCCAGCUUGCUGGAGGGAAAGCACUCUAAGGAGACUGCCCGGGAUAACCGGGAGGAAGGUGGAGAUGACGUCAAGUCAGUACGGCCUUUAUGCCCUGGGCGACACACGUGUUACAAUGGAUAAUAACAGAGGGUCGCCAACCCGCGAGGGGGAGCUAAUCUCAAAAACUUAUCCUCAGUUCAGAUUGGAGUCUGCAAUCCGACUCCAUGAAGCCGGAAUCGCUAGUAAUGGCAGAUCAGCAGGCUGCCGUGAAUACGUUCCCGGGCCUUGUACACACCGCCCGU